UUUUUUUGUUCAUUCUUUCUUUGUUUAGAUUGAUCGUUGAGCUUUAUCUCCUGAGCAAUUCUUAAGCAUUACAAGCACUACUGACUCUCCACUGCACAAUAUCCAACCAUCUAUUCAGAGCACAACCUGCAUUUUACUCUACAGGUGAACGCCUGGUUUUGGAUUUUAUCCAAGCAGCAGUUCUUCUAAAUUGUUCUUCCCACCCAUCAACCCCAACCCAUCCUUACCCUUCCCUCCCCAACCC